rnacentral:lncRNA from 1 species
GAUGGGUUAUAGUUGGAUCAGAAUUCCUUCAUAGUCUAAACUUGGAUAACACAAGAGAAGUGAAGAAAGAAAGGGUCUCUUAAUUAGGGUGAGAACAAAAUAUUUGAUGGAUCAUAGUUGAGUUAAAUCUCUUCAUGAUCCAUGCUUGUUCAUAUUUUACACCUUGAUCAAGGGACAUUAUAAGAAAAAUCAUAGGAAGGCUCUCUAAUUCAUUGGUCUAGUGGAUUCAAGAGCCCUAGAUCUUUUAGAUAAUUUAUCUUUAUAAUUAAUUAGUUUAUUACUUUGGUAGUUCAUAAUUCAACAAACAAUCUCUUUCCUUUUUUUCUAAAGCUCGCCUGAGCAAGCAUUCAAAUACAAUUCAAAAUCCAAUUCCUCGUG